GGUGGCUCAGUGGUAGAGCACUUGCCUUGCAUGCCUGAGGCCCUGGGUUCGAUUCCCAGUACCA
rnacentral:tRNA from 1 species